rnacentral:lncRNA from 1 species
CAGAGCACAACCACGUGCAUUCGCUUAGUGUUGGCCAUGACUGCCGGCCGCCACGUGGUGAAGUCAGCUAUACCCAGAGGUCUGGCUUUUGUCCUCAGCACCUAAAUGGUAAGUUUGUUUUGUCAACAGCUGCUUUUGUGUUGUCUGAGAAAAGUGAUGCAUGUGACCACGAGAACGUCCACUCAGAAAGUGGACGGGGUGGGGCAGUGAGACCACAGGACAGAAUGUCAGCUCAGAAAGCAGACGGCGGGGGGCAGUGAGACCACAGGACAGAAUGUCUGCUCAGAAAGCAGACGGCGGGGGGCAGUGAGACCACAGGACAGUGCCGCUCCACUCUGACAAAGAUGAAUCCCGCAUGGUUUCAGAGCUGGGAAGGGCCAUGGAGGCUUCCAGUACAGCCUUUGACUCACCUGGGAACCCUAAAGA